GCUGGGUGUGGUGGUGUACACCUGUAGUCCAAGCUACUGGGGAGGCUGAGGUGGGAGGAUGGCUUGAGCCCAGGAGGCAGAGGUUGCAGUGAGCUGUGAGUAUGUCACUGCACUCCAGCCUGGACAACAUAGCAAGACCCUGUCUCAA
ensembl:misc_RNA Metazoa_SRP Metazoan signal recognition particle RNA